UGAAAUGUUAAUUUGUGAAUUGACAUCCUAAAAAUUGUGAUAAUUCCAUAUUCUUGAAUUUCUAUAAGAGUUUUUCAAUACAUUGGCAAUUAUGCUAAAAUGUCUUUACAAACUGCUACCUUUCUAAAUUUGAGCCCAAAAUAUUUGAUUGGUUAUUUUUUAAAUGUUAUUAAAAGCGACUGUUAUUAAUGGUUUCAGUGAAAUUCA
rnacentral:lncRNA from 1 species